AAAGCCGACGCGUAGACGUGGCCGAAGCGGGUCAAAGUGUAGUAUCUGUUCUUAUCAGCUUAAUAUCUGAUACGGGUUGUAUUUGUAUUCAAGAUAUUAAACUUAUUUUUCUAAGUUGGCGGAGUGCUUAAAGCGUGCUUGACUUUCACCGCUGUUCUGCCCGGAAUUGCACUAUCUUCGGGAUCGACCCAUGGUUU